rnacentral:lncRNA from 1 species
GAGGACUAGUGACUGGUUGGCUACUUUUAGGAGGACUAGUGACUGGUUGGCUACUUUUAGGAGGACUAGUGACUGGUUGGCUACUUUUAGGAGGACUAGUGACUGGUUGGCUACUUUUAGGAGGACUAGUGACUGGUUGGCUACUUUUAGGAGGACUAGUGACUGGUUGGCUACUUUUAGGAGGACUACCAAGGAACUAGUGACUGGUUGGCUACUUUUAGGUGGACUACCAAGGGGCUAGUGACUGGUUGGCUACUUUUAGGUGGACUACCAAGGGGCUAGUGACUGGUUGGCUACUUUUAGGUGGACUACCAAGGGGCUAGUGACUGGUUGGCUACUUUUAGGUGGACUACCAAGGGGCUAGUGACUGGUUGGCUACUUUUAGGAGGACUACCAAGGGGCUAGUGACUGGUUGGCUACUUUUAGGAGGGCUAGUGACUGGUUGGCUACUUUUAGGGGGACUAGUGACUGGUUGGCUACUUUUAGGGGGACUAGUGACUGGUUGGCUACUUUUAG